AUAGCCAUGCAUGUCUAAGUAUAAGCAAUUAUACAGCGAAACUGCGAAUGGCUCAUUAAAUCAGUUAUCGUUUAUUUGAUAGUACCUUACUACAUGGAUAACCGUGGUAAUUCUAGAGCUAAUACAUGCUGAAAACCCCGACUUCGGAAGGGGUGUAUUUAUUAGAUUAAAAACCAAUGCCCUUCGGGGCUCACUGGUGAUUCAUGAUAACUUCUCGAAUCGCACGGCCUUGCGCCGGCGAUGGUUCAUUCAAAUUUCUGCCCUAUCAACUUUCGACGGCUGGGUCUUGGCCAGCCGUGGUGACAACGGGUAACGGAGGGUUAGGGCUCGACCCCGGAGAAAACGCCUGAGAAACGGCGUUUACAUCCAAGGAAGGCAGCAGGCGCGCAAAUUACCCAAUGCCGACACGGCGAGGUAGUGACGAGAAAUACUGAUACAGGGCUCUUUUGGGUCUUGUAAUUGGAAUGAGUACAAUUUAAAUCUCUUAACGAGGAACAAUUGGAGGGCAAGUCUGGUGCCAGCAGCCGCGGUAAUUCCAGCUCCAAUAGCGUAUAUUAAAGUUGUUGCAGUUAAAAAG
rnacentral:rRNA from 1 species